rnacentral:rRNA from 1 species
GAUGAACGCUGGCGGCGUGCCUAAUACAUGCAAGUCGAGCGAACGGACGAGAAGCUUGCUUCUCUGAUGUUAGCGGCGGACGGGUGAGUAACACGUGGAUAACCUACCUAUAAGACUGGGAUAACUUCGGGAAACCGGAGCUAAUACCGGAUAAUAUUUUGAACCGCAUGGUUCAAAAGUGAAAGACGGUCUUGCUGUCACUUAUAGAUGGAUCCGCGCUGCAUUAGCUAGUUGGUAAGGUAACGGCUUACCAAGGCAACGAUGCAUAGCCGACCUGAGAGGGUGAUCGGCCACACUGGAACUGAGAAACGGUCCAGACUCCUACGGGAGGCAGCAGUAGGGAAUCUUCCGCAAUGGGCGAAAGCCUGACGGAGCAACGCCGCGUGAGUGAUGAAGGUCUUCGGAUCGUAAAACGCUGUUAUUAGGGAAGAACAUAUGUGUAAGUAACUGUGCACAUCUUGACGGUACCUAAUCAGAAAGCCACGGCUAACUACGUG